ACGCUGGCGGCGUGCAUAACACAUGCAAGUCGAACGGUAAGGCCCUUCGGGGUACACGAGUGGCGAACGGGUGAGUAACACGUGGGUGAUCUGCCCUGCACGUUCGGGAUAAGCUUGGGAAACUGGGUCUAAUACCGGAUAGGACCACGGUCUGCAUGGAUUGUGGUGGAAAGCUUUUGCGGUGUGGGAUGGGCCCGCGGCCUAUCAGCUUGUUGGUGGGGUGAUGGCCUACCAAGGCGACGACGGGUAGCCGGCCUGAGAGGGUGUCCGGCCACACUGGGACUGAGAUACGGCCCAGACUCCUACGGGAGGCAGCAGUGGGGAAUAUUGCACAAUGGGCGCAAGCCUGAUGCAGCGACGCCGCGUGGGGAUGACGGCCUUCGGGUUGUAAACCUCUUUCAGUAGGGACGAAGCGUAAGUGACGGUACCUAUAGAAGAGGCACCGGCCAACUACGUG
rnacentral:rRNA from 1 species